rnacentral:misc_RNA from 1 species
GAUUUAUAACUGAGCAGAUGAUGAACAAAUAGAUUUUAAAAGAUGCUGAUCAUGAGUAUCCAUGAGGCUUCAAUAAUCGAGCUUUUUAAAACUGAUGCUCAGUUCAUCCUCUCAUCUCUUUCUUGUUUUUGUCUCUGUUUAUCAUCAAUUCAAGAGCUUCAAUUUUUUAUUUGUGAUUUGCUCUGUUUGAUCUUAGUUUUUUUUUUCUUUUUUGGGGAUCUGACGGGGGAUUUCAUUGAAGAAAUUCCUUACUAGAUUUGGAGCAAACGAAAUGUCAGUGUUUGUAUAAUCCAAAAGUAAACGUCAGAUAGAAAUUCCCUGACGCGUCGAGGUCGUCCACCAUAUUCUUGGUGGAGCUCCUCCGCGAGAAGGGAAGGAGUCAUAUUCCAUCGCCUUGUGUAGCGGCAUCGCUGCCAUUACAAUUUGGGACUGGCCAUGAGUCAUACAUUUAUAUUGAUUUUUUUAAAGUGACGUUGAUAUGCUUUGUUGGUGAAUGGUACACAAAUAGAACAGGAAAUAGGCAUGAGUGUUGUUGAUGAUGAAGCCUUUUUCUUUGGAAAAGCUUCUCCUUCAAUGGGAGGUAUCAUAGGGACUCUGGCUUUAAGAUUUGCAUUGUGUCUUAAACAAUGUUGCCCAUGAUGAUAUCAGUACACCAAAAUACCAUCUUUC